UACAGAGGGUGCUAGCGUUGUUCGGAAUCACUGGGCGUAAAGGGCGUGUAGGCGGGAAGGAAAGUCAGAUGUGAAAAUCCCCUGGGGCUCAACCCCAGGAACUGCAUUUUGAAAACUCCCCUUUCUUGAGUGUCGGAGAGGAAAGCGGAAUUCCUGGUGUAGAGGUGAAAAUUCGUAGAUAUCAGGAGGAACACCGGUGGCGAAAGGGCGGCUUUCUGGGACGACAACUGACGCUGAGACGCGAAAGCGUGGGGGAGCGAACAGG
rnacentral:rRNA from 1 species